GAGCCUCUCUGCUUCCAGGGGCUGACAACGUGAUGAAGUGCUGCUAAUGAGCCUCUUUUGCUUGUUUAUUUUAACAGCCAGAAAAAAUUACAUUAGUGCUCUGCGGUGAGCGGGCGGUGUGGAUUUCCUCGGGGAAUCCCUCCGGAGUGUUCGGAACAAGCAGCGGAGCUCCUCGCCUAAUUGGGAGCGGACUAAUUUGCUGUCUUUUCCAGCUGAGCUUCUGGGUCCCUCAGAGUCCGGAGACCCGCUGACCGCUGUUCAGUUAAGAAAUCCCCAUGUCUGGGAUGUGGCACAGCUGCCCAGUGAGGUGGUGGGGUCACUGCCCCUGGAGAUAGUCCUGGAGAGCCAUGGAGGAGCAUGGUAAGUGGGCAUGUUGGGCUGCGAUUGGACUUGGGGAUCUUGGAGGACUUUUCCAACCUUAACGACUCUAUGAUUCUAUAAAUGAGGCUGCAUCUACCAUUGCUGGUUACUCCUGAGCUCUCUCAUCCCAGGGAGAAGGAGGGCGAAAUUCAGAGACUUGGAUGAGAAAUGUGAACACAUUACUGUUUGCUUUCGAGCUCUAGAUUCCUAAUUAAAAAAAAAAAAAAAAAAGAUACAUAUUUCAUGACUGCGUUUGCCUAAAA
rnacentral:lncRNA from 1 species